GAGUUUCCCAGGCUAGGCGUCCAAUCGGAGCUACAGCUUCUGGCCUACAACACAGCCACAACAACAUCAGGUCAUGGCAAGUCCGGAUCCUUAACUCACUGAGCAAGGCCUGGAAUCGAAUCUGCAACCUCAUGGUUCCUAGUUGAAUUCGUUUCCAGUGUGCCAUGACGGGAACUCCCUAAAUGGUUUCUUAAUAACGACUGCAUCUUCAUGACUUUCUGUCCAGGUGACCCUUCCCCCAACAUACAUCUUCCAGGGAGAGAACAGGACCACUGCUAAAACUCCCAGCGUUGGUAUCUCACUAACAUUUGCAGUUAGUGGAAGCUCAGUGGGGGCCCACACUUUUCCCUCAAUCCAGAACCCUGGAAUUCAAGUGUACCUUCUCUUCUGGUUGGUCAGAGAAUGCACAGCUGAGAUGCCAAUGGGCCUGCAGAAGGUCAGAGGAAUAAUCACUCAAUGGGUGUUCCAUGAAUACAGGAGCGCUAGCAUGAAGGCAUGCUCCGAGUUCCCUGUGAUGUAGAGUUCCUCUUCCUUCGGCUUGAGCCUGCUCUUGUAAGCUCAAUAAAGAAGACAACACACUAAGAUUUUUAUGAAAAUGUGUUGCUGUUGGGAAAGAGUAAAGCAAAAUCCAGGGUUCAGCACAAGCUGGGCCCUGCUUUUCCCAUAAGCAUUGCAACACAUGCCCACAUGCACACAUAAAAUUCACAAGGGUAUGAGAACAAGAAGUGACGCUUUUAUUUUUUUAAUUUUUAAAUUUUUUUAAAUUUCAUCUUUGGCCUCCCCGUGGCAUAUGGAGCUCCCGGGCCAGGGAUCAGAUCCAAGCUGCAAUCUUGACCUAAGCUGCAGGUGCAGCAAGGUCAGAUCUGGAUCCUUAACCCACUGUGCCGGGCUGGGGAUUGAACCUGUGCCCCAGCUCUUCCAAGACACCACCAAUCCCAUUGUGUCACAGAAGGAGCUUAGACAUUUUUAUAUCAUAAGGGAGCAAGUAGGCACAAUGACAGUCCACACAGGCCCAUGCUUUGCCACACCUGGUGUGCCAAUCUAGUCCUGACUCCCCAUCAAUUGUCCUUCACCUGACCCCACUGUGACUGAGCUUUUGCUGUGUGUUCUUCUUGCUCACAUUUCUGUGAUUUGGAGGAAAUUCUACCUGCCAUCAUCAAGUACAAUGUCACCUGAACUUGUACAAUCAGGUCAUCUGAUUGUGAGGUGACUCAUUCUGCAAGCUCUUUGGUUAACCCCACCCACACCUAAAAUUUGAAAAGCCCCAUUUCCUCCCAGAAGUAAGCUUUAUAGUAGGUGGUGGUGGUGGUGGGGUUGUCAUGAGAAUUUUCUAACCCUUUCUACUUGCUUGGGAUUGGUACUUUCUGAGGCUUCUUAACAACCGUUGUUUUAUGUAAUCUUACCAAAUCCCUCUCCAUAGAUGGAAAAGCUGUCAUUAUCAGCUCAUUUCAUAAGCGUAUUGCUCGGGGUUUGGAGAUGGUCUCCUCCCAGAUACUCCUGGGAUUUUGAUGUCAUUGUUGUGGUAAUGGGGUGAUGCACGUUGUUGGUGAAUUCUAGCGACCCUUUCACUGGCCCUCACAAACCGUCUGUCAUUUUUAAUCUGCAUUUGCUCCAGCUCUUUUCCUACCACUAACCUCAGGUCUACCUCAUUUCCAGGUCAUUAGGCUGAACCUCAUCUUCUAGAACCCAGAGAUCCAAAUGGCCUGGAUGCUUAAGCUAGGACAUAUGCGUGUGCAUGUGUGUGUGUGAGUGAGCGUGUGUGUGUAUUUAUAUGUGUGUAGAUCUUUUGUAUGUUUCCAUGAGAGCACUUCAGGAUGUUUGGACUUGCUACCACCUGCCCUUCCCCCUACUGGAGUCUGAACUUCCUUCUCCCCAACAGAUAAAAAGUGCAAUUCCUAGCUCUUUCCCCAGCUCUUUUCUCCAGGAAAAGCAGCUAUUCCUACCUUCUCUCCCAUUUCCCUUCUUUUUUUUUUCUCUCUCUUUUUUUUCAUUCUGAUUAUCUUCUUCUAAUCAUCACCAAGUUUAGCCAAGCAUAUAAAGCAUUUCUCUAGAGUCUGGCCCAGGCAGACUCAGAGUCCCCAGAGUCUCAGAGUCCCCUGAAAAUCUAAACGAUGUGAUAAGAGAAAACCAUGUCUGGUUUCACUGCUUGCAUGGUUGGUCAAAGGCUCCAUCCAAGGAGGACCCUUGGAGAACCCAGAGGGUAAAGAGAACUGCUCUCUUGGGAUUACUCCCUUCCUGAGUCAAAGCGGAGACUUCCGUAUCGAAUUGGGAUGGGGUGGAGCCGCCAUCCCACUCUGCAGAUGUCAUCGUCAGCAGGAUGAAUGCUGAGAGACCUGAGCAGAGAACAUGCUGGGGCUUGGGCUACAUGGGGGUUUUCCAGGAGCUCUAUUUGGAAGAAAACAGGUCAGGCAAACUAGAGAGUCAGCAAAUACAGAGACCCAAGGUCAAUGCCGCCAGAAGAGAUUGAGAAGAGCCAGGCUGACUAGCAGCAAUUUAUCUGCAGGGAGGGAAGGAGGUUUGAACAAUGCUGUGUUCGCCUGACCUUGUUCCCUUAAGCAAAAGGAAUUUUUCAAACAUGUGGUCUUGGGCUGUACAGCUGGCUUGAUGGAAGCCCAGGCAUUGUAUGAAUGGGGUUUUAUAGAGAAUUUAACCCUGAGGUGAUGUUAGCGGAUACAGGCAAUUCAGAGGAAAGAUUCUCCUCGUGUCUUUACAGACUUUGGUAGGAGGAGCAUAGAACAGGAGACUCUUGAGGUUUCAGAUCCUGCCACUUAGGAGCACCUUUCCACCCCCCCCCCCCGCCUUGUCCCCAGAGGUUCUAAGAGAACCUGCAGGAGGCCCCUCCUGGUGCUGGAUAUCAUGGGUCUAAGGACAAAAAGGGACUGUUCCUCUCUCCACAAGCUCCUUUGUAGGGAAGUCCCUGAGAAUAAUCCCUGUAGGGGGCGUUGAGACCUUCUAUCACUUCCACGUGAUAAUUUUCCCCUCUCCUGGGCAGCAGAUGAGAUUAACAGACCAUGAUGAUGGUUUAUUGUCCUUAAGCAAAGAUAAGCUAUUUCUGCAACUAGGCAAGAGAGCGUGUAAUGUCUAAAGUGACCCGGAUUGUGGGGAAAUAUGCCUGCCUUUUCAAAAUAUACUUUUACAAAAAGGUUAGGCAAGGGGAGGGAGUGAGAUGGACUGAAAGUUUGGGGUUAGUAGAUGCAAACUAUUGCAUUUGGAGUGGAUAAGCAAUGAGAUCAUGCUGUAUAGUGCAGGGAACUAUAUCUAGUCACUUGUGAUGGAACAUGAUGGAGGAUAAUGUGAGAAAACGAAUGUAUAUAUGUAUGACUGGGUCACUUUGCUGUACUACAGAAAUUGACAGAACAUUGUAAAUCUAUAAUAACAACAAUUUAUAAAAAAGUUUAGGGAGAUCACUGCUGUUCUACAUGAGGGCAUUGAAGUGUGUCCAUUAGAUCUGCUUUCUCUCCUCUCACCUCAUCCUUAGAACAGCAGCCCUGUGGGGCCUGCAGAGCUUAGCUCAAGUGACCAGCCACUCCUCCCUCCAAGGUGCGCAAAUUCAGAGGCCCAGAACCAUUGGGUGAUUGAAAAGUCUUAUCUUCAGGCAGAAAGCUGGGAGCAGAGCAAAUAAUAACUGGGUGUUGUUUGACUCGUUGGGGGGAAAAAUAAGGAGUAUAAAGUCUUUUCUGUGAGUGCCCUGACAUUUUUGUUUCACCAGGCUGAAAAAAGACUGAAGUAUGAGUUUGCUAGAGCAGCCAUAUCAAGUUACCAUACACUGAAUGACUUAAAGUAACAGAAAAUUUAUUCUCUCACAGCAGUGGAGGCUAGAAGUCUGCAGUCAAGUCAUCUUUAGAGGGGUUCCCAUUGUGGCUCAGUGGGUUAAAGACCCAAUGUUGCCUCUGUGAGCAUGCAGGUUCAAUCCCUGACCUCGCUGAGGGGGUUAAGGAUCUGGUGUUGCCAUAAGCUUUGGUGUAGGCCACAGAUGUGGCUCAGAUCUGGUGUUGCUAAGGCUGUGGCUGUGGCCUCAGCUGCAGCUCUGGUUCAACCCCUAGCCUGGGAACUUCCACAUGCUGCAGGUGCAGCC
rnacentral:lncRNA from 1 species